rnacentral:misc_RNA from 1 species
AAGUCGUAACAAGGUCUCCGUUGGUGAACCAGCGGAGGGAUCAUUACCGAGUUUUCAACUCCCAAACCCCAUGUGAACUUAUACCAUUUACAACCGUUGCUUCGGCGGGUUCUCGCCCCGGGGUUUACACCCCGGAACCAGGCGGCCCGCCGGGGGACCCAAACUCUAGAUUUUUAUUUUAGCAUGUCUGAGUGGAAUCAUUACAAAAUGAAUCAAAACUUUCAACAACGGAUCUCUUGGUUCUG